UACGUAGGGUGCAAGCGUUGUCCGGAAUUAUUGGGCGUAAAGGAGCUACGUAGGCGGUCGUGUCGCGUCGGCUGUGAAAACCCGGAGCUCAACUCCGGGCCUGCAGUCGAUACGGGCAGACGUGGAGUUCGGAGGGGAGACUGGGAAUUCCUGGUGUAGGCGGUGAAAUGCGCGAUAUAGGAGGAACACCGGUGGCGAAGGCG
rnacentral:rRNA from 1 species